GCCGGGUGUGGUGAUGCACACCUGUAACCCUAGCAACUUUGGGAGGCUGAGGCAGGAGGAUCUUAAAUUCAAGGCCAGCCUCAGCAACUUAGGCCCUCAGCAACUUACCAAGACCCUGUCUUAA
rnacentral:sRNA from 1 species